AUUGAACGCUGGCGGAAUGCUUUACACAUGCAAGUCGAACGGCAGCACGGACUUCGGUCUGGUGGCGAGUGGCGAACGGGUGAGUAAUACAUCGGAACGUGCCCAGUCGUGGGGGAUAACGUAGCGAAAGCUACGCUAAUACCGCAUACGAUCUAAGGAUGAAAGCGGGGGAUCGCAAGACCUCGCGCGAUUGGAGCGGCCGAUGGCAGAUUAGGUAGUUGGUGGGGUAAAGGCUCACCAAGCCGACGAUCUGUAGCUGGUCUGAGAGGACGACCAGCCACACUGGGACUGAGACACGGCCCAGACUCCUACGGGAGGCAGCAGUGGGGAAUUUUGGACAAUGGGCGCAAGCCUGAUCCAGCCAUUCCGCGUGCAGGAUGAAGGCCCUCGGGUUGUAAACUGCUUUUGUACAGAACGAAAAGGCUCUGGUUAAUACCUGGAGCUCAUGACGGUACUGUAAGAAUAAGCACCGGCUAACUACGUGCCAGCCGCCGCAGUAA
rnacentral:rRNA from 1 species